GGGGGAUGUGGAUUCUUUUAAGAAUGUGGAUAUUUGGGUCAUCUUUGGCGGCCCCUAGAACGUAAACCGUGGGAUGCAGCGUCAUGAUUUGAAUAACUUUUAAUGGCCAUGGGGUGUAGAUUGGCCUGAGCAAAUUUGGUGUCAGUGGGACGAAAGCCUUAGGAGGAGUUAGCCACAUUCCAAUGUGUGCGAAUCGGCAAAAAAUGCAAAAUAGCCCUUUAACCGUACAUUUUACAGAUACGCGCGCAUUGACUUUUUCGUAGAUCUUAUUGAGAUACAUGUGAUUGUCAAAUUUUGUGUCAAUAUGACAAAGCGUACAGGUAUGACAGUCAACAAUGUGUUUUUUCAUCUUAUGGGACAAGAAAAAAUGGACUUUUUUCUCCUGCCAUGGGGGGGCGCUCUUUUGGGGAUUAGAAAUUCCUUCACAAAUGUGUUGAUGGCUGGACAUUGCAUCAUCCUAGAAAAUUUGGAGGCCAGUGAGGGCAAAAAUAAAAAGUUAUAAGACUUUGAAAUAUGUGGAUUUUAGGGUUAUCUUUGGCGCCCCCUAGAACCUAAACCGUGGGGUCUAGCGUCAUGAUUUGAAUAACUUUUAAUGGCCAUGGGGUGUAGAUUGGCCUGAGCAAAUGUGGUGCCGGUGGAACGCCAGCCUUAGGAGGAGUUAGCGAAAUUCCAAUGUGUGCGGAUCAGCAAAAAAUGCGGUAUAACCCUUUAACCGUACAUUUGACAGAUACGCGCGCAUUGACUUUUUCGUAGAUCUUAUUGAGAUACAUGUGUGUGUCAAAUUUUGUGUCAAUAUGACAAAGCGUACAGGCGUGACACUCAACAAUGUGUAUUUUCACCUUAGGGGACAAGAAAAAAUUGACUUUUUUCUCCUGCCAUGGGGGGGCGCUCUUUUGGGGAUUAAAAAUUCCUUCACAAAUGUGUUGAUGGCUGGACAUUGCAUCAUCCUAGAAAACUUGGAGGCCAGUGAGGGCAAAAAUAAAAAGUUAUAAGACUUUUAAAUAUGUGGAUUUUAGGGUUAUCUUUGGCGCCCCCUAGAACCUAAACCGUGGGGUGCAGCGUCAUGAUUUGAAUUACUUUUAAUGGCCAUGGGGUGUAGAUUGGCCUGAGCAAAUGUGGUGCCGGUGGAACGAAAGCCUUCGGAGGAGUUAGCGAAAUUCCAAUGUGUGCGGAUCGGCAAAAAAUGCGGAAUAACCCUUUAACCGUACAUUUGACAGAUACGCCCGCACUGACUUUUUUGUAGAUCUUAUUGAGAUACAUGUGUGUGUCAAUUUUUGUGUCAAUAUGACAAAGCGUAAAGGCGUGACAGUCAAUAGUGUGAAUUUUCACCUUAGGGGGCGCUAUGGAGCCAUUUUGCAUUUUCUUGUUUGGGCGACUUCGGAAUAUCAAAUUUUUCACCAGGCCCGGUCAUCCUGCCAAAUUUCAUGAGUUUUCGCCAGUGGGAAGUGGGCCAUUUUCCAGUUCAAAGGGGAGGAAAAAGAAGAAAGAAAGAAACAAAGAAAAACCACUUGGGGAAUAAUAGGGCUCUCGCAGCUGCUUAGCAGCUACGCUCGGGCCCUAAUAAUAACACUAGGACCCCGUUGGGGCACUGGCGGGCCCGAGCCGUGUCGCGUCUCCCCCCCCCCCCCAACGUGCUGCCUCCCCGUCCCAUUUGUGUCCUCUGGCCAUCGCCCUCUCUGGUAACGCCCAUCACUGCAAAGACCCUUUUCCUUCAUCGGCGUUUGCUGUUCUUCCUGCCAGUGCGUGUUGCUUUCACUUACACUUGCCACAGCCAGCCUCGUGAGUGCCUAGCCUAUUGGAUAUCACUGUCACCUACACAGGACAGUCAUUACCUUUCUAUUAAUACUUUGUGUUUUAAUUUCACAUUAAUUUCCAUAUUGUAUAAACGACUGGAAAAAACUUGAGCCCCUGCCCCUGUAUAAUCAUGUGCAUGUCUCUGUUCUAGCUCCAAGGUGAAUCUUCACUGCUCAUGUUCUCCUCAGAAGCACUCACCUCACUCCCCUCAGGUUACUGUACACAUGCACCAACUGCCUGCUUCAGGUUUGGAUGGAGCUUCAUGGUUGUCUUUUGGAGAAAUGACCAGUCAAGUUGUGUUUGAAAUUUGAUUUUUUUCAGGGGCAAAAGGAGCCUCUGCAUUCUUGUCAAAUAUGUAAAUAGCAUGUUUUUGCAGGUGCUAAAAACCAGACUCUGAGUGUGUGUGUGUGUGUGUGUGUGUGUGUGUGUGUGUGUGUGUGUGUGUGUGUGUGUGCGUGUGUGUGUGUCUAUGUGUGCGUUCAAAUCACAUGACAUAUUUAACCGGAUGUAGCUGCAAGACGGAGCCUUGUUGACUCUCCGUUUCAACUUAUCUCAAAAGUGAGGACCUCAACCUAUAUACCAGUUUUUAAAUUGUGUUGAUAGGCCAAAUAAAACCAGAGUUAUGAUAAAUUAUGUCCGCGAUACUUUUUUUCUGCUUAUUUUGAUCACGUUCGGCGCUCGAUCGCGCUGUAUGAGACAGGAAAACAUAGCAUGCAGACAUUAGCGACAGGUCUUACAGGCGGAAAAGGCUUGCCAAAGGAAAAAAAAAACACACCACAACAUCUCUCCUAUUGGUGGAAAAGUUCACCACAACAACCAAUCCAAAAUUAUAUGGUGACUGAUUGACAAGGGGCAAGCGCUUACGUUCUUCCUGCAACAUGAGAAGGGAGGGAGGGACUCUCAGCAGGGAUGCAGUCUGGGACACGUAGUUGCAAAC
rnacentral:lncRNA from 1 species